rnacentral:rRNA from 1 species
GAUGAACGCUGGCGGCGUGCCUAAUACAUGCAAGUCGAGCGAACAGACGAGGAGCUUGUUCCUUUGACGUUAGCGGCGGACGGGUGAGAAACACGUGGAUAACCUACCUAUAAUACUGGGAUAACUUCGGGAAACCGGAGCUAAUACCGGAUAAUAUAUUGAACCGCAUGGUUCAAUAGUGAAAGACGGUUUUGCUGUCUCUUAUAGAUGGAUCCGCGCUGCAUUAGCUAGUUGGUAAGGUAACGGCUUACCAAGGCGACGAUGCGUAGCCGACCUGAGAGGGUGAUCGGCCACACUGGAACUGAGACACGGUCCAGACUCCUACGGGAGGCAGCAGUAGGGAAUCUUCCGCAAUGGGCGAAAGCCUGACGCAGCAACACCGCGUGAGUGAUGAAGGUCUUCGGAUCGUAAAGCUCUGUUAUUAGGUAAGAACAGAUGUGUAAGUAAAUAUGCACGUCUUGACGGUACCUAAUCAAAAAGCAACGGCUAACUACGUG